rnacentral:rRNA from 2 species
ACGGAUCUCUUGGCUCUGGCAUCGAUGAAGAACGCAGCGAAAUGCGAUAAGUAAUGUGAAUUGCAGAAUUCAGUGAAUCAUCGAAUCUUUGAACGCACAUUGCGCCCGCCAGUAUUCUGGCGGGCAUGCCUGUUCGAGCGUCAUU